rnacentral:rRNA from 1 species
GUGGGGAAUAUUGGACAAUGGGCGAAAGCCUGAUCCAGCCAUGCCGCGUGUGUGAAGAAGGUCUUCGGAUUGUAAAGCACUUUAAGUUGGGAGGAAGGGCAGUAAGUUAAUACCUUGCUGUUUUGACGUUACCGACAGAAUAAGCACCGGCUAACUUCGUGCCAGCAGCCGCGGUAAUACGAAGGGUGCAAGCGUUAAUCGGAAUUACUGGGCGUAAAGCGCGCGUAGGUGGAUCUGUAAGUCUGGCGUGAAAUCUCCACCGCUUAACGGGGAGGUGCCGCUGGAUACUGCAGAUCUGGGGUUCGGUAGAGGAUCGUGGAAUUUCGGGUGUAGCGGUGGAAUGCGUAGAUAUCCGAAAGAACACCAGUGGCGAAGGCGACGAUCUGGGCCUGAACUGACGCUGAGGAGCGAAAGCUAGGGGAGCAAACGGGAUUAGAUACCCUAGUAGUCC